ACCGACUCCUAGCGCGCGUAUUCCACAAUUCGUGGGGGCCGUAACUGCAAAAAUGCAUGUAUUCAUGCUUAUGUUCAAUCUACCCAACAAUCCAAAUCUUCUCUAGCAAAUUCAGUUGUUUCCAUUCCGCGGUUGGUGGGUUCUCAUUGAUUUGUGCCUUUUCGAUGCUUUUUGUGUCGGUUUUGAAGGCUGGUUUCGAACUGAUUGUUUUGUGGAUUCUACUGAUUUCGUAUUUCUUUGCUUUGAUUGAUCGAGUUUCAAUUCGUUCUGUUUGUUGUCAAGGAUUGGACCAUUAUGUGAAGAUACAACACUGGUUUUAUGGGGUUCUCUUUAUUGCAAGCUUUCAGAUGCAGAAUACUGUCAUUGCCUAACCUUCCAAUAAUACGAUUUGGCAGUUUUUGGUUGGAAAACUUCCAUCAGUUACGAACUACUUUUAAAAGAGAUUCCAAAUCCAAGUUUAUUGGAUCCAAUAAUUUUGAAGCUUCUCGAGGUAGUUUUAGUAGGGCAUGGAUUUCACGACCUAUAACACCAAGAAUUGUAGAAAAAGACAAUGACAAAGAUACAGGGAGAAGUAAAUCAAGCCACCCCUGGCAUGAAUCAUUGGAAGCAAGUUUGAGAGCAAGAAGUAUAAGUGAAUCAUCAUUCAGUGAAUUCAGUACUUUGAUGCUGAACAGAGGAUUAAGGAGAGCCAAGACUUGAAGCAUCCAGUAAAAAGAUUUGUUAUUGAUGUUGAAACUACUGGAUUUUGCAGGGAGACUGGCUGGAUUAUUGAAAUUGCUAUCCUGGAUCUUCUAAGGGACAAGAACAGUUGUUUCCAAGCCCUCGUAAAACCAGAACAGCAUGUUCCAAAUUCUUUUCUGCAUGGUAUUACAACCCAGAUGGUUAAUGAACCGAAUGUUCCAAGGACGAAGGACUUGAUUCCAAUCCUAAUGAAGUAUGUUAAAAGCCGUCCAUAAACAGGAUCAAAACCAUCGUCAAGAAUCUCACUGCAGGGACUUCACAAGUACCAUGGGAUGCCAGUGAUGGGUUCAAAGCAUAGGGCCAUGUCAGACUUCUUUGAGGUUAAAUAUAUAUAAUUGUUUGUGACUCAUUGGUCA